rnacentral:rRNA from 1 species
UACAGAGGGGGCAAGCGUUGUUCGGAAUUACUGGGCGUAAAGGGCGCGUAGGCGGCCUUCUAAGUCGAACGUGAAAUCCCCGGGCUCAACCCGGGAACUGCGUCCGAUACUGGAAGGCUUGAAUUCGGAAGAGGCGAGUGGAAUUCCUGGUGUAGCGGUGAAAUGCGCAGAUAUCAGGAGGAACACCGAUUGCGAAGGCAGCUCGCUGGAACGUAACUGACGCUGAGACGCGAAAGCGUGGGGAGCAAACAGG